GUGGGUGUAGCUCAGUUGGUUAGAGCACCAGGUUGUGGCCCUGGGGGUCAUGGGUUCGAGUCCCUUCACCCACCCCA
rnacentral:tRNA from 3 species